rnacentral:rRNA from 1 species
UACAGAGGUCUCGAGCGUUGUUCGGAUUCAUUGGGCGUAAAGGGUGCGUAGGUGGCGGGGCAAGUCAGGUGUGAAAUCCCGGGGCUCAACCCCGGAACUGCAUUUGAUACUGCCUUGCUCGACGUACUGGAGAGGAGACUGGAAUUUACGGUGUAGCAGUGAAAUGCGUAGAUAUCGUAAGGAAGACCAGUGCCGAAGGCGAGUCUCUGGACAGUUACUGACACUGAGGCACGAAGGCCAGGGGAGCAAACGGG